CUAUAUAAGCCCCUCUGUUAACUUUUGUUCGAGCCUGUCUAGAUCUUUUAUCAGUCUAGAAAGAUGUUGGAGAAAAGACAUCAUCCUCUUCUAUACUCUCCAUCUGUAAUUGGGCUAACAACUGGACCAGUGAAUGCAGGUAACUUACUCUCCAUUCGACCUUGCAGGUCACACCAUGGUCUCAAGAGUGAAAAAGAGUGCUCUAUGGAUUGAACAGAAAAGGUGAAUCAAAACUCCAACCAUCUGUAUGAGGGUCUGGAUGGAUAAAGGAUGCCCACUGGAGCUGGAAAUGAUGGAUCAGGUGGAUCCACACUUUAACCAUCUGUAUGAUGAUCUGCACCCACUGGAGCUGUAAAUGGUGGAGCAGGUUUCUGAAUUGAUGUCAGAUGCAAAGCAGAAGCUUUCUUCCAGUUUGGCUUCAUUGUGGAAAAAUGCUGGAAACUAAAAUGCAGAACAUGAUGCACGAUGGGAUGCACAAAGUGAUAUUUGGACGCAGCCUCAGUCUGUCAGAUCAAAGAGACAUACAGAAUGCACAGAGCAGUGGGACUCCAUGAACAGAGUUGAGAACCACUGCUGUAACUCAUUAUGCCUACCUGACUC